UACGAAGGGGGCUAGCGUUGUUCGGAAUCACUGGGCGUAAAGGGCGCGUAGGCGGCGGUUCAAGUCGGGGGUGAAAGCCUGUGGCUCAACCACAGAAUGGCCCUUCGAUACUGGACGGCUCGAGACCGGAAGAGGUCAGUGGAACUGCGAGUGUAGAGGUGAAAUUCGUAGAUAUUCGCAAGAACACCAGUGGCGAAGGCGGCUCACUGGCCCGGUACUGACGCUGAGGUGCGAAAGCGUGGGGAGCAAACAGG
rnacentral:rRNA from 1 species